UUUUUUUUUUACGUAAGCUUGCAUUAAACUGGAAAUGUGGAACUUUUUCACUAUCUUCAUUAAGUCCCAUUUUUAUUAUUUUAGCCCAUCAUUCCAGCCCAUCAAAAUUUUUUUGCAAAAUAGUAAUAGUGGUUGUAUAUAAUAUUUGUAUUGUGCUUUACUUUGUACCAAGCACUUUCAUGAACAGUAUCUCAUUGUGAGGUAGGGUUUUUUUAUCCAUAUUUUACAGACAAGGAAACUGAGGUUUAUAGACGUUAAUAACUUGUCCAAGAGUAGUAAGCCAUAAAACAGCAAAGCAGUGUUUUGAAUUUGAAUAUUCCUAGCACCAAUAUCU
rnacentral:lncRNA from 1 species